UACGUAGGGUGCAAGCGUUAAUCGGAAUUACUGGGCGUAAAGCGUGCGCAGGCGGUUAUGUAAGACAGGUGUGAAAUCCCCGGGCUUAACCUGGGAACUGCAUUUGUGACUGCAUAGCUAGAGUACGGUAGAGGGGGGGAUGGAAUUCCGCGUGUAGCAGUGAAAUGCGUAGAUAUGCGGAGGAACACCGAUGGCGAAGGCAAUCCCCUGGACCUGUACUGACGCUCAUGCACGAAAGACGUGGGGAGCAAACGAGG
rnacentral:rRNA from 1 species